CCAGCAAACACCUGGCCCUCUGCGGGCGUCUUCAGCCGGGUGCCUGUACCAGCACAGGGCUCUCUGGACCCUGGAGACCUAAAGGCAACAGCAGACACAGGAGCACAUGGGACAGAGCGUGGCCUUCGCCUCAGGAAGGGCUGUGAGGAAGCCACUCCAGACCAGAGGGGCUGGCCUGGCUCUCUCAGGCCUACCAUCGCCGUGGGCUCAGAAGUGGCAAGAGCCAGGCCCAGACUGGGUAUCCAGGCCCCAACUUCAUUAGCAGGUGAGGACAUGGCCAGGACCCCUUGAGGAGACUCAGGGCCCUCAGAGCACAGGAAAGCAAGGGCUGAAGAAGGCAGGCAUCUCCUCAGAAGCUUCCAUCCAUGCUGGGCCAUCUGCAUCCAGGCCUUGUGGGUCACCGGAAGGGAGCAGAGGGCUCUGACUGCCGUACUGCAGUACACAGCUGUAAAUCUUUAAAUGCCUGUGAUCAGAUGGGGACAGCAGCAGGCAGGCAAGAAGUUUUCAGAAGGCAGCACCUGGCCCUGAGUGCCGUCCAUUGCUGCCACGUGGAGCUGCAGGGCCAAUUACCCCGUUCUUCAAGAGGAGAUGGACGGGGGAGCUCUGAAGGUGACUUUCCACUGGGCACCUGCAGCACAUCUGCCCAGAGCUGAGGACAGAGCCCCAGUGAGCUGCCAAGACUGGGCAGGGAGAAAGCAAUGAGGAAACCAGGUUAAGUGACUUCACAGAAAUGACCUAUCCAGCUGCCAGCCGCAAGAGCAGCAGAGGGGCAGGCGAGGGUAAGGCACGGGGUCCCGGGGCCUCUUAACUGUCUAUCCCUGGAUGAACCAAGAGUGACCCAGACAGGUAGCGUGACUUGUGCUCCUAAAAGGCUGGAGAAAGGAGUCUCGCCACCAAGUGAGGUUCCAUCAGCUCUGCCAUCUUCUCCGGGGAGCAAAUUGUCAAAGAUUCAGGUUAAUUCCAGUGGUGCCAGCCCCAGAUCUCUUUGCUGGUUUCAGGUGGGGAUUAGGUGGAUAAACAGCUCCCACCUGAAGAGGAAGGCAAUGGUGUCUGCAUUCUGCAGAUGAAAGAUUUCCAGAUAGGCCCCCUCCUUGUGACUGCCAUGUUCCAUUAGGUAAAGCAAGUUUAAACCAUUCCGAGGCCUCAGAUUGUG